UGUCCCCUUGUCCUCUACGAGUCAGACUCUGGUGCCUGUGGCCUCUCAGAGCCACCCACUGGUGCCUCCACCUGCACAGAGCCGCCUCCCAGUCCCACUAGCCUCCCAGAGCCAGCUCCAGAAUGUUUCUUGGGACUCUCAAACUCAGCCUGUACAGGCUUCCCAAGCCCAGGCUGGGGCCACCCCACUCCCUCUGAUCCAGCUUCUGCCAGCUCAGCCUUUUCAGACCCAACCUAUGGACCUGUGGGCCGCUCCUGCUGUCUGGGACUUGCAGGCUCUAUAUCCCACCCAGCAGGCCCCCCACAGCAGCUCUUUGGUCCAAGAGAUUGCUCCAGGCCAGGCUGCAUCUACAGAGGAAUUUCGUAAGCAGCCAGUUGCUCAGGCUUUCGAGACUCCGCCACCAGCGGGCCAGGAGCUAAGUCGGGAUCUCCUUGACACUGCGUCCCCACUCCCUGAGCCCCCAGCUCCAGCCACUCAGGCCCAGCAGUCAGUACCCUCCGAGAGUGCACCCGCCCCAGCCUCGGAGAAGAAAAGUCCUGCUCUCUAGCACAGAACCAGACCCCAACCGUCCGAGUGGCUGCUCAGGCCUCUGCCAAAACUCACCAGCGUUUCUGCAGAUUUAAGUGCCAACUUUAUAAAAGCACAAAUACUUACCUUAAUCUCAUUUGGGAAACCUCCAUCUGGAGUCCUGACUGUUUUCAGACCAGCAGACUUACUAGACUGCCUCUGCCAAGUAUAUGUGUUUCAGUGUUGAGGAGAGGCUUUCAGCUUCAGAUAAUAGUUAUUUAUUGCCAGCAUUGCAAGCCAUAAUAAACUAUGCAAUUCCAAUGAACUUUGUUUUAGAAUAAGUUGGUUUUUUAAAUAGACUUCUCAUGUGAAAGCAUUCCAAAUGGAAAAUAAUGUCUCUAAUACUCUGGGUGAAGAUGUAAGUACAAUUCCCACAAGAAUGGAAGUUGAAAAAUGCAACUCCUUGUAUUUAAGGAUACUUUGUAACCUCAUUAGCUAUCAGAAAGGUCAACACAAUCAAUACAUUAUAACAUACUACAAUUUAUAUUUAUAUGUUUAUUUGAUUUAAGUAACAUAUGAGUUUCCCUUUUUCCCAAGGAUUUAAAAUCUGAUUUGAUUGUGUAUUUUAAUGAUAAUCAAAUAAAAUUCUUUUGGGACUG